GGGCAUGUAGUAUAGUUGGUUAUUGCGCCCGCUUCGCAUGUGGUGUUACCAUAUGACCUGCGGGAGGUCUGGCGUUCGAAUCGCCACUUGUCCA